GAGGGUUGGACUGAAAACCUACAAGACAGUAGAUCUCCAGGAAGAGGGUUGGACUGAAAACCUACAAGACAGUAGAUCUCCAGGAAGAGGGUUGGACUGAAAACCUACAAGACAGUAGAUCUCCAGAAAGAGGGCUGGGCAGCCCUGUACCUUAUCAUACCAGAUUCUGAGCCUCUCGUCUGGCUCUGUGAGAUUAGAUUUAGUAGUCCCUCCCUCUUAUGAUUGUUGAUCUGUGGUGGAAAGAUGUUUUUAUUGUUUUACCUCAUUGCCAUGUUUUGCACCAGGACAGUUGGGGCUUUUCUCUAUGAUAUUAACCAGUGUAAAGACAACAACAGUACACUAACCCAGGUCCUAGAGUUCGAGGCAAAUUAAUAUUGUCAUUUCCCUUAGACGAAGUAGGGACCAUAUAGCCCAACAUAACAUACUGUACCAAAAGUGAAAAGACGCAAUUCAUUCUUACACCAUAUUGAUUAAUUCUUAUAUACACCAUAUUGAUUAAUUCUUAUAUACACCAUAUUGAUUCAUUCUUAUAUACACCAUAUUGAUUCAUUCUUACAUACACCAUAUUGAUUCAUUCUUACACCAUAUUGAUUCAUUCUUACAUACACCAUAUUGAUUCAUUUUUACACCAUAUUGAUUCAUUCGAUAACCUUAUCAGAGUUUGUAUGAAUGGCACAGAGUCCCGGAUUAUGUUAUUUUAGUUAUAGGACCGGAUUCCCAGAUACACAGUCCUAGUUAUAGGACCGGAUUCCCAGACACACAGUCCUAGUUAUAGGACCGGAUUCCCAGACACACAGUCCUUGUCGAGGAGAAGUUCCAUUGAAAAAGCUUUUUAGCUGCAGGUAACCUAGUGGUUAGAGCAUUGGACUAGUAACCUAAAGGUUGCUGGAUCGAAUCCCAGAGUUGACAAGGUAAAAAUCUCUCGUUCUGCCCUUGAACAAGGCGGUUAUCCCACUGUUCCUCGGUAGGCCGUCAUUGUAAAUAAUAAUUUGUUCUUAACUGACUUGCCUACUUAAAAACAUUUAAAUAGUCCAGAAUUAGGCUUAAUCUGUAUCUGGGAAACAGGCCCUUAGGGUAGAUUUAUGUGUUGUACCCAUAGAGUUAGGUAGAUUUAUGUGUUUUACCCAUAGAGGUAGGUAGGUUUUUGUGUUGUACCCAUAGAGGUAGGUAGGUUUAUGUGUUGUGCCCAUAGAGUUAGGUAGAUGUAUGUGUUGAGCCCAUAGAGUUAGGUAGGUUUAUGUGUUGAGCCCAUAGAGUUAGGUAGAUGUAUGUGUUGUACCCAUAGAGUUAGGUAGAUGUAUGUGUUGAGCCCAUAGAGUUAGGUAGAUGUAUGUGUUGAGCCCAUAGAGUUAGGUAGAUGUAUGUGUUGAGCCCAUAGAGUUAGGUAGAUGUAUGUGUUGAGCCCAUAGAGUUAGGUAGAUGUAUGUGUUGAGCCCAUAGAGUUAGGUAGAUGUAUGUGUUGAGCCCAUAGAGUUAGGUAGAUGUAUGUGUUGAGCCCAUAGAGUUAGGUAGAUGUAUGUGUUGAGCCCAUAGAGUUAGGUAGAUGUAUGUGUUGAGCCCAUAGAGUUAGGUAGAUGUAUGUGUUGAGCCCAUAGAGUUAGGUAGGUUUAUGUGUUGAGCCCAUAGAGUUAGGUAGAUGUAUGUGUUGAGCCCAUAGAGUUAGGUAGAUGUAUGUGUUGAGCCCCAGGUAACAUUUUCUAUUUCAUUAAGGGACUUUUUUCUUUUUCAUUUGCAUCAUUUGUGGUCCACCACCUUCACUCCUUCCGGGAUAUGUGCAAUAUGGUAUCUUAUUACCUGUCAUGAUGUGGAUAUGAAUAUGUAAUAUUGUAUGAACAAGUGACACGUUGUUUGAAAACAACAAAAUUACCAACGUCUUCCAUUAAGAAAUAUUUAUAGUCUUCAUAUGCAUUAGCUUGUUUAGAGGGACUGUGGUGCCAAUAUUAUAACUAACCAUGCAUGCAGGGUUGCUGGUGUUGCUUGCUUUUUGAAUUAACCAAAAGGUUGCGAGGUCAAAUCCCCGAGCUGACAAGGUACAAAUCUGUCGUUCUGCCCCUGAACAAGGCAGUUAACCCCACUGUUCCUAGGCCGUCGUUGUAAAAUAACAAUUUGUUUCUCAACUGACUUGCCUAGUUAAAAAAAAUAAAAAAUAAGGAAACAUUGUUUUCUAAAAACAGAACAUGUUUGGGAGAUUUGAUUAAAUUGUUAAAUUCUAUUCAGAGUGAAUUUCACCACAGAUAUACAGUUAUCUAUUACUAUCUAAACUAGUAUUUUAUGGAAUUAACACCUUUAGAAUCAGACAUAUUGACAUCCAGUGUGUUUACACAGGCAGCCCAAUUCUGAUCUUUUUUUCACUAAUUGGUCUUUUUGACCAAUCAGAUCGUCUCUUUUGCCACUAAUUGGUCUUUUUGGCCAAUCAGAUCGGCUCUUUUGCCACUAAUUAGACAACAUAUUAGAAUUGUGCUUCCUGUGGAAACAGCCUAUCGUAAUUGAUCAAUAAAAUAACGAUCUAGAAUAUGAGAAUAUCUUUAGUUAAAAAGCAAAGCAUCUAGACAUUUCAGAAAUAUUUUUUUUUAAAUUCUGCACGAUUUUUCAGUUUAUUUGAUCUAUUGUAAUCUCUGUUUUUAAAGGAAUGUUUAGCAUAUUAGUAGCUAUAUAAUUGAAUGUUUUUUGGUUUAGAGGGAAGACUAUACUGUGGUUUAGUAGGACGUAUGUUCCUCGUAAGAAACACCAAACAGUGCGUGAAGUACCACAUGUUGAAACAGAACGACUGACAUUUGAAUUGGCAAAACGGUCUUCUGGGGAAAUUCAAUAUGCAAGCUAGGUUCCCUAUGGUGCUAGUGCACUACAUUUUGACCGGGGGGGGGCAUAGGGCUCUGGUACAAAGUAGUGCACUAUGUAGGGAAUAGGGUGCCAUUUUUGGAAGUAGCCUCGGACUCGUACUGUAUCAUUCUGUAAGAACUAAGAACCCACUGAUUUAGGAGGCCUGUGUUGAUGCCUCUUUUCACAGUUUACAUUCUGUUCACAUGUUGCACCGUUGUCCAUAUCAAACGAACUAUGUAUGUAUGUAUGUAUGCAUGUAUGCAUGUAUGUAUGUAUGUAUGUAUGUAUGUAUGUAUGUAUGUAUGUAUGUAUGUAUGUAUGUAUGUAUGUAUGUAUGUAUGUAUGUAUGUAUGUAUGUAUGUAUGUAUGUAUGUAUGUAUGCAUGCAUGCAUGUAUGUAUGUAUGUAUGCAUGUAUGUAUGUAUGUAUGCAUGUAUGUAUGUAUGCAUGUGAAUAAUUAUGCAUUCUUCCUAUUAUUGAACGUAAUAGAGCGGCCUCAAGGAGAAAACGACUGAACAAAAUAUAAUAAUUAUGCUGUCAACCUUUCUUGAUAUGUUAUGAACACAUUCACUACCAUCAUCCUGUCUUGAAUACUGUGUUUAAAAAAAGAUAUAUAUUUUAAAAAAUUGUAACGCUACACAAUGUAGCAAUGCUUAGGAUAGGUAAAUCUAGAAUGUAUCGAUAAUUUAAAACUAUAUCAAAUGCGAGGAGAAAAUAUUAUGCAUGACUUAAAGUAAUCAAUGAUUUGUAUCGCGGGGCAAUAAUCAACUUGGUCAUUUGCGUUGAUCAUUAGAUCUGUGAUACUGAAAGGUUGAUAUUGUGGCGCUGUGAUAUAAGGUAGUAAAACGUUUUAUACAGGUCUUGAAUAACAGGGGAUGGUUGUUGACACAUCACCCUGAGCACAUUGUUUUGAUAAAAAAGAAUGUACGAUGUUGAUCAAAAGCCUGAAAUCCAGGCUGUUUGCGCUUUCAUUCUACUAUCAUUCUACUAUCAUUCUACUAUCAUUCUACUUUCAUUCUACUAUCAUUCUACUAUCAUUCUACUAUCAUUCUACUAUCAUUCUACUAUCAUUCUACUAUCAUUCCACUAUCAUUCUACUAGCAUUCUACUAUCAUUCUACUAUCAUUCUACUAUCAUUCCACUAUCAUUCCACUAUCAUUCUACUAUCAUUCCACUAUCAUCCUACUAUCAUUCUACUAUCAUUCUACUAUCAUUCUACUAUCAUUCUACUGACAAGGAGUGGAAUGAUGGCCCAAAAGACUGGAUUUCAGGCUGUUGAUCCAAGUAUCACUAGUAAACAAACAGAAUGAGUUGACUGUGCGUUGUGGUGUAACUAUGCACUCCAGCGAGAGGCCCUGGGGCAUGCUGGAGCAACGGAGUCUCCCGUCUCGGUUGUGGAUUAACUGAAGAAAUCUGCAUCAGAAAUGUAGCAAUAAAAAGCAGCAUGGUGCCAAUAGCACGAA